UACAGAGGAUGCAAGCGUUAUCCGGAAUUAUUGGGCGUAAAGCGUCUGUAGGUGGCUUUUUAAGUCCGCCGUCAAAUCCCAGGGCUCAACUCUGGACAGGCGGUGGAAACUACCAAGCUGGAGUACGGUAGGGGCAGAGGGAAUUUCCGGUGGAGCGGUGAAAUGCGCAGAUAUCAGGAAGAACACCCGUGGCGAAGGCGGCUCUCUGGGACGGUACUGACGCUGAGACGCGAAAGCGUGGGGAGCGAACAGG
rnacentral:rRNA from 1 species